UACGUAGGGGGCGAGCGUUAAUCGGAAUUACUGGGCGUAAAGCGUGCGCAGGCGGUUCGCCAAGUCAGGUGUGAAAUCCCCGGGCUUAACCUGGGAAUUGCGCUUGAAACUAGCGGGCUUGAGUGUGGCAGAGGGGGGUGGAAUUCCACGUGUAGCAGUGAAAUGCGUAGAGAUGUGGAGGAACACCGAUGGCGAAGGCAGCCCCCUGGGUCAACACUGACGCUCAUGCACGAAAGCGUGGGGAGCAAACAGG
rnacentral:rRNA from 1 species